rnacentral:lncRNA from 1 species
UUUGUUUUCUUAGAUGCUUUUGAGAAGGUAACAACAGCAAUUUCAAAAAUGCUGGGGUAAGAUGCAUCACGCAGUGCUACUCAACAUGAGAAUUCCGGCCGCAUUACCUGUAUGUUGAGUGAUCGCACAGUACAACCUUUAGAAGCUUGUAAGGAGUAGACAACUAGAUGCGAGUAGUUUCAAUAUGGAUUCGCAUCAAAUGAUCUCUUGCAAGUGAUUACUAUAACCUCUAUCCCAAAAUUCUUGGAACUGGUCAUACCAAUAAUGAAGUAUUGUGUAUGUUGAAGACAUAGCUCAAGGCCUUGCGAAAGCUUCGUCAGCCUUUGUAUUGGAAAACAGUUGGUUGUAGUUGCUUCUGAAUGAUAUUGUUAAUAGAUACUGUAAAAAUGAACUGUGCCACUCAUUUUCAGAGCCCUGUUAAGAUGUGUUGGUAAUGUGUUUGAAGGUUGUUUGAUUUAUGUUGUAUUCAGCUAUAAAUCAAAGAUUCAGAACAUGGUUAUGUUACUGGUUUCCAAAUCAAAAAAUUGCCUUGUGAUGUUAGUGUUCAUUGUUUUCACAGGAGAUCAGGUUCCCUGUUGAUGAAUCAAGAAGGCAAACGCAUCCAUGUCUUAAGUUCAAAUGUGUCUCUUCUAUUUUCUAUUACUGACUCCUUUAUUUUGAUUUCUUCAUUGUAAUGGAAUUGGUUUUUUAUUCCAAAUUAGUCAAAACCUCCUAGAGUCAUUAAGUUCUGUUAGCAUUUGAAGAUAGAACUAGAACUAAAUGAUUGACUGGAUUAAAUUCCGAUAAAGAAUUAAGUUAUAUAUUUAGAGAUAUUAUGUUUUUUUUUUUCAUUUGUUCAAUUUGGUUAGUGGUGAUUUCUUAAAGACUCAAUCCAUGUGCGUUUAUGCAUUUUUAUUUUGCCUUAAUUUCUGUUUCUUGGGGAGUUUAUACAGAUUCUUAUUUUAUGCUUCACAUGCCACAUGAAAGAUCGAAGCCUUUUGUGUGAUUAGAACUGACUUGCAUCACAGAAGUAGAUUGAUAGAGUAGAUAAUAGUAGAUUUCGCUUUAGUAUCGGAAAUUCCAUAAUUAUGCUUUUCUCUGCACUAUUUUCAAUAAAAUUAUAAAAAUCAAAACAAAAUUAUUACACAGUAAAGACUUUAGAGACAAGUACCCCCAAUAGGAUCAAGCAAAUAUGCUCUGCACAAAAUUAUUUCUUGUUCUUUUUCUUUUUGACAAUUUUAUUUGUGGUUUCAACUUUUAUGCUUUAUUGUCAUAUCUCGUUGAGGGCUCCGCUGCACCCAUUACAACUUACCCCCAUAUUGUCUUUUACUGACUAAACCGUUAGAUUUGAUGCUGAAUUUUAAUUAUACCAUCAAAUUUCGUUUAGCUCCUUAAACUCCAUUUUAUUUGUAAUUUCUUCAUAAAAUAUUCAAAGCUUCAUCAAGCUCCUAAUGGACCAUCAUGGCUAGGGGUGCGUUAGAGCCGAACUGAAAUAUGUUAGUUCAGUUCAGUUUGGUCAGUUUAAAUUGAAUGGUUUAGGAAAUAUAAACUGAUCAAUUUUAAUUUUGAAUUGAACUGAACCGAAAAUCAAUUGGUUCAGUAUUAGUAUUUUUGCAUAAAUAUAAAUUAUUAGCGAUUAUAAUUAAAUUGGACUAAAAAAAAUUCAAACUAAGGUGAAAAACAUCAAAUCUUAGAUAAUAUAAAAGAAAAAAUAUUAAAUUUUAUAAACCAAAAUGAACCGAAUUAUUUUUACUCAGUUUGGUUCAUAUUUGGUUCGUAAUUUUUUAAACCAAAUUGAUUUAUAUCCACACCCUAAUCAUGGCCCUCUAUCUUCAGUCAUUCACCCUUGAGUUUGAUGCCAAUUGUUGGGUUUCAAAUUAUUAUACACUCAAAUGAAACCCCUCAUAACCAAAAACUAACAGAAACAAUAAGAACACGAUGUUAAUAUCUUAAAUCAAUCACAAAAAAGCACUCAAAAUUAAUUGAUUAGGAGCAAUUAACAACAAAAGAUUUGAUGGUUCAAAAUCAUAAUGUGACCUAGUUCCAUCCAAGAAUCAUACUAAUUGCUUUACUAGUUGUCAAAUUGUUGUGCAAAUUUUAUUAAACUCGCAAGUGCACGAAUCUAUUGUAGAAUAGAUCAAUGGUGACGAGUGUCGAUCCCAUAAGGAGGUUGAUUUUUAAUUAUGUGUAGAAUUAAUGUUCUAUGAGGAUGGUUGGAUUUGUGGUGGAAGUGAUUUAGAUUAUACUAGAAUUUAAAUUGGAAUGGUAGAAUUAAAUUAAAGUGGAAACUAUUAUAAUUGAAGCGCUUGGGUAUUUGGAUCCGUAUCAACAUGCACCAUUGGCUAAAUAUUCCUUAUUAGUAUCAAUUAAAUCAUGAGGGGGGAAUCCACACCUCAUGAACUACACUCUAAUCAAUAUGGUGCUAAGGGCUUAUCGUGCCAAAUAAUAAUAACCUUAUACUAGGGAGUCGGUGAAACUAUGGUAAUAUCUAGACAAGAUUAUUACUAUUUGUCGACGAAAAGUCAAAACAUCCACAAAAAUUAGAGGGGAUGAGAAAGUAAAUUUACCAAUUAAAGCCCAUGGCACAUGUUGAGACUUCACUUUCUACCCAAGCUUGAAAGAAAAUUAGCUACUCAUAAUUAAACUAUGGAUAAAAUGAAAAUUUAUUAAAAUACAUAGAAAAUACAAGAUAGAAAAGAAAUUAUAGAAAAUGGAGCUCAAAAAUGAAUUCAGAGAUGCCAAAUUAGGGGGGAGAGACUCCCUUUUUAUAGAUAUUUGAUUAAAUCAUGGCCAUCGAAUUAAAACCAGUUUGGACACUCAGGAUUGUGCCACGUCAUCAAUCAACAGUACGCGGUUUGAACAGUGACACGGUUUGACCACGCGGUUUGAACAGUCAACCGGCUUGAAUAGUGACGCGGUUUGGUUGAAAAUAAUCCUAUUUAUAUGCAUGUACCGUACGCGCGAUUUUUGGUCUACUAACAUGCUGCAACGUCACCGAUCAACAAUGCGUAAGAAUUUUAUCCAAUAGAAUCGUGACACCUCAUUAGUCAAUGUCACAUUAACGUUCAAUGCCAUGUCAUCGUUCCGUAGGUGUGAAUAAUGUCGUGAACAGUAACAUAGACAGUAUCGUACGUGUAAAUAGUGUUGUGUAUGUGAACAGUGAUAUUUUUCCUUUUAUGCUCCUCCUACAGUUUUCGACUGUUCUAAGUUCAAAAGUGAUGUCCGUUUUGCCGUCUGAUCUCUCGUUUAUUGUGAAAAGACCAUGAUGCCUUUAAAAUAUAUAAAAUACUUAAUUAAAAUAAAACACACAUAAUUAAAUCACAAGAAGCUUAAAUACAUAAAAGUAGAAGUGUUAGUAAGACUUGAAAUGUAAAAUGACGAUUUUCUCCUUUAUAAAUAUACAUUUUCUAACACUCAACACAAAUACAAGAUCACAAGAUUGUUUAUCACUCGACAGAGAAAUUGUUUUUAGAAGAAAUACUCCUCAAUUUUUCUGUUAAUAGUUAUGAAUCAACACCCGCAUAAAGGCUAUUGAUUUACUUUUCCUUAUUUCCAACAUAGUCCAAACACUUUUCAUGUUACAGGCGUAGUGCACCUUCAGAAACUUUACAGCUCCUCUUAAAACCUCAAGCCUAUAGAGUGUAAUUUCGCACUAUAUGCUCAGUCUUCUCAUGAUGUUUCUGAUUUAUUUCUCGGACGAGUAACACUUUUAGCUGUCAUAAUACAAUGUAAUUGACUUUUAGCUGUCAUAAUUUUGAGAUCAUUACUUUUAAUUAAAUGAUCUCCUCUACAGCUUCUACCUAUGUAGUGUUUUAGACCUCUAUAGUUGAUCAAGCAUGUUCAAGGUGAAGGCUUGUUUUCCAAUCUAUAGUCCAAUUAUAGACUGGAAAUGGUUAGGCUUAAUGCACCUUCAAAAGCUUCACAACUUAUAUAGAAACCUUAAGCCUUAUAGAAUGCUACAAAUUUUAAAUCCACAUACUUAGUGCUCUUAUGAUUUGUUUGAUUUUUGCUUAGAUGAAGAGCACUUUAGCUAUAGACUACAUUGUAACUAAUUCAAAGCAUGCCUUAGCUACGAGAUCAUUCAUUCUAGCCAAAUGCCCCCUUUAGAGAUUCUGCUAUUGUUGUGUAUUCAGCCUCUAUAUUUGGCAAAGCAAUUACAUGUCGAAGGCUUGCUUGCUUUCCAGUUAACAGCGCAAUUACAUAGAUUACAGGUGUAACCAGGCAAAGAACUUAGUUAUUCUGCCAAGGUCUCCAACAUACUCCAAAUCCAUAUAACCGCCAGACUUCAAUCUUUAGACUCCAUAGAUCAAACCAUAACUUAGUGUGCCUUUCAAUCUCAGGUAACAUUUUACUGUUUUCCACGUCUUGCCAUGUACUUGCUGCUAACACUAACAAUUUGAGAAAUGUUAGGCAUCGUAAGCAGCCGACAACACUCUUCUUCAUUUCUUCAUUGUCAAUUUCCUUCUUGGAACAUUGCUCCAUUGAGAGUCUACUAUCAUUGCUCCAAUUAUUAUUAUUUUUGUUUUUUUAAAAAAAAAAAUUAACCCUACAAUAAGAGUAUAAGACUAAGCAACGGUCCUUUUUUUUCCCAUUCUUGAGCAUGAAGUAUUUGAGUAUGCAAUAAAAAUUGUUUAUUGAUAAUUAAAAGUUAGUAGUGGGUGGCUUUAGGUUUUGUUUACAAAAUUGACAACAAAUUGAGAUUUUUCAAAUUCAUAGGUAAGAAACUUUUCAUUUAUUCAUAGAUUUUCCGGUUUAAACUUUAAAGAAAACUUAAAAGAAAAAGAUGUAUCAUUAGACUUGUAAUUAAAAAAAUUUAAUAUUGUAUGAUCUGUUCGAUAUGCAUAAUUUAAAUAAACAUUAAUAUAGAUGUUAUAUAUCCUAAAACUUAAUUGACUUAAUUCUUACGGUGCAAGGAAGAGGUUUCCAAGUUUAAAUCUAAAGUCUUGUAUUUAAUUUGGGGUCGGGAAAGCACCGGGAAAUAAAUGUAACAAAGGAAAAAAAAAAAAAAAAGAAUGACAGUCUGAGUGGAGCCAACACGGUUUUGAAAAAAGUGCAAAAAAGGGUUUAAAAAAAAAAAACGCGGUUUGUAAAGGAAAUAAAAGCUUUUCAUUGAAUUAAGACCACUACACUCAAAUACUCUAUUAUCACCAACGAGGUCGUGGUCUAGUGGUGCCAGGGGCUAGGCUUGGUAGGGCGAACUACGGUUCGAUCCCCCGCACGCACGUUGGGAGGAGUUUAAAACCUUAACCCCGGGACGCGCUCCGAAACCGGAUUAGUCGGCCCGAUGGGUUCGGAUACCGGUUGGUUAGCACCAAAAAAAAAAAAAAAAAAUACUCUAUUAUCGUUUGUUUGCUUGCUUGUGGAAAUAAAAGUCUCAUGUUUCUUUGAAAGGUAAGCAAGUGUGAGUGUUUCUAUCUAGAGCUGGAAAAUGCAUUUCCGUGCAACUUACUUGAUGAAUGAAGUUUUCAUCUCUGACCUUGAUGUUUCCCUGAGCUGCAUUCGUUGCAGCUGAUGUAUUUCAUUUUGUUUUCGAAGGAGUGACACAAAAUCUCCUUUGUUAAGGUGAGAAUUUAGAGUGGCUUUAACUGUUAACAAAUAGCCUAAUGUAAGACUUAAUCAACUUCCUGCCCUGUUGUAUGCUUAUGAAUUUUGAUAGAGUUAUGAGUUUGCAGAAGCUACUGUAUUAUAUGUUGAUAGAGGCUGUAAAAAUGAGGCAGAUCAAACACACGUUUAAAUUUCAGUGACAAUUUACUGGAAGUAAAUUUCCUAUGACCCUACAUGUGACUAAUUGAUGAGAAGUUGACAAAUGACAAAAGAAAUUGUACGAGCUUUGCAGGCUGGCAUGCCGAUAUUGACUGCAUGGCACCAUCCGCCAUUUGGAAGUGAAUAUCAUUAUUCUUUAAUCAACAUGGUGGAGUCCACUGGGACCACACCACAUGGUCAGUCAUAUCUCUAUUCCUCAAUUUUCAGUAUUCCAUACAUCAAAACAAUUUCAGUUUUGUUAUCAAUUAUAAUUUCAUUGUUGGUGACGAUUCUGAUUCCUUUCUUUCUGACAAAACGGAACCAUGUUUGCUGUGGGAGAGAUCUUACUCAACGCCUUCUUUCAGGUGUUGUUCGACAGGUUGGCUUCCCGCGAUUUGCUCAGCUUUGUCCGUCAACUUGGAGGCGGGGUCGAUUCCGAGCUCAAGAAGUGGGAAAGAAAGCUGAAGAUGAUUCAGGCGGUGCUCAACGAUGCAGAGGAGAAGCAACUGACUGACGAGGCUGUGAAGACGUGGCUGGACGAUCUCCAAGACUUGGCUUAUGACGCUGAGGACAUUCUUGAUGAGUUUGCUACUCAAGCUUUGGAAAGCAAGUUGAUGGCGCAAAAUCAGGAUAGCUCUGGCCAGCUUCUCAGUUUCAUCCCGGUUAGUUUGAAUCCGAAUGCUGUUAGGUUCAAUUAUGGCAUGAGGUCCAAGAUUAACGAUAUUACCAGCCGGUUGGAGCAACACUGCAAAGAUAGAAUUGAACUUGGGCUGCAACGGAUUCCUGAAGGGGCAUCAUCAACUGCUGCUGCUGCACACCAGAGGCCACCCAGUUCAAGCGUCCCACCAGAACGUGAAGUUUUUGGUAGAGAAGAAGAUAAGGCCAAAAUUCUUGAUAUGGUAUUGGCCGAUAGCCCAAGUGAUCUUGCCAACUUUGUUGUAAUACCCAUUGUUGGCAUGGGCGGGAUAGGAAAAACAACUCUCGCUCGGGAGGUUUACAAUGACAAGGCCGUUGGAGAUUCCAAGUUUGAUGUAAAAGCAUGGGUUUGUGUAUCUGAUGUCUUUGACGUUUUGGGCAUCUCAAAGGCGCUUCUCGAGUCAAUCACCCGCAGGCCAUGUCUUCUAAACAGUUUAAACGAAGUGCAGGUUGAAUUGAAAGUAGCUGUGGAUAAAAAAAGAUUCUUGCUGGUCUUAGAUGAUGUUUGGAACGAGGACUACAGCUUGUGGGUAGACUUAAAAGCUCCGUUCCUGGGUGCUGCACCAAACAGCAAGAUGAUCGUCACCACACGCAAUUCAAGUGUUGCAUCAACAAUGAGACCCAUUGAUCGUCACCGCAAGCAAUUCAAGUAUUACGAUCUCAAGAGUCUGUUAGAUGAUGAUUGCUGGUCCAUUUUCAUAAACAAUGCAUUUGAAUCUACAGACCUUAGCGCACAUCGAAUUUCAGAAUCGUUCCGCGAGAAAGUUGUUGGCAAGUGUGGGGGCUUGCCUCUGGCAGCAAAAACACUCGGGGGCCUUCUUCGUACUAAAACGCAUGCUGAGUGGGACGGUAUAUUGGAUAGCAAAAUAUGGGAUUUACCUCGGCAAAGCAGCAUUCUUCCCGUGUUAAGAUUGAGUUACCAUCAUCUUCCUUCUCAUUUGAAAAGAUGUUUUGCUUUUUGUGCCAUCUUUCCAAAAGAUUAUGCAUUCACUGAGAGGGAGCUGACUUUCUUAUGGAUGGCUGGAGGUAUUAUUCGACAGUCAAGAAACAAUGAGCAGCUCGAAGAUUUGGGCAGCAAGUGCUUUGGUGAUCUAGUGUCGAGGUCAAUUUUUCAACAAACAGCAAUCUCUGAUAGUUCUAAAUUUGUAAUGCACGACCUUAUCCAUGAUCUUGCUGAAUUGGUCUCUGGAGAAACCAUAUUUAGGUUAGAGGAGGCCAAUACUCUGUCAAGAAGUUUUGAAAGGGUUCGCCAUUCUUCCUAUGCUUGUGGUGAAUAUGAUGGUAAAAAUAUGUUCGAGGUUUUCAAUGAAAUUGAACAUCUACGAACAUUCUUGCCAUUACGCUUACGCAUACGAGGUACUUUUUACAUAACUAGAACGGUUCUAUCCGAUUUGCUGCCAAAGUUCAAAAAAUUGAGGAUGCUAUCUUUAGAAGGAUACUGUAUUGGUGAGUUACCGAUUCCAUUUGAAGAUUUGAGACUUUUAAGGUUUCUCAACCUUGCUGACACUGACAUAAGAAGUUUACCCGAGUCAACAUGCAAAUUGCUGAACUUGGAAAUUUUGAUAUUAAGAAAUUGUUCCCUUUUGAUAAAGCUUCCACCCAAAAUGAGGAAUUUGAUCAAUUUACGCCAUUUGGAUUUAAGAGGUGCGAAGUUGCUGAAGGAGAUGCCAGUCGGAAUGAAAGAGCUGAAGAAGCUUCAAACAUUGUAUAAUUUCAUUGUGGGCAAGGGUGAAACUGCAUCCGGUUUGGAAGAUUUAAAAAGUUUAAACUUUCUUUGUGAUGAACUUUGCAUUGUUGGAUUAGAGAAUGUGAAUAAUCCACAGAAUGCAAGAGAAGCCGCAUUAUGCGAGAAGCGCAAUCUUGAAGCAUUGACCCUAGAUUGGGGGUCUCAAUUUGACAAUUCUCGAGAUGGAGUAGUAGAAGAGGAUGUACUGGAAAUUCUACAGCCUCAUAAAUGUAUUAAAAAGGUGGCAAUCAGGAACUAUGGUGGUGCAAGAUUUCCACAUUGGAUAGGAGAUCCUUUGUUCUCCAAAAUAGAGUUCCUUGAAUUGGAGAACUGUGACAAUUGUGCAUCUUUGCCAUCGCUUGGCCGUUUGAGGUCCAAGAUUAACGAUAUUACUAGCCGGUUGGAGCAACUCUGCCAAGAAAGAAUUGAACUUGGACUGCAACGGAUUACCGGAGAGGCAUCAUCAACUGCUGCUGCUGCACACCUGAGGCCACCCAGUUCGAGUGUCCCAACAGAACGUGAAGUAUUUGGAAGAGAAGAAGAUAAGGCCAAAAUUCUUGAUAUGGUAUUGGCCGAUGCCCCAAGUGAUCAUGCCAACUUUGUUGUAAUACCCAUUGUUGGCAUGGGCGGAAUCGGAAAAACAACUCUCGCUCGGGAGGUUUACAAUGACAAAGCCGUUGGAGGUUCCAAGUUUGAUGUAAAAGCAUGGGUUUGUGUAUCUGAUGUCUUUGACGUUUUGGGCAUCUCAAAGGCGCUUCUCGAGUCAAUCACCCGCAGGCCUUGUCUUCUAAACAGUUUAAACGAAGUGCAGGUUGAAUUGAAAGUAGCUGUGGAUAAAAAAAGAUUCUUGCUGGUCUUAGAUGAUGUUUGGAACGAGGAGUACAGCUUGUGGGUAGACUUAAAAGCUCCGUUCCUGGCUGCUGCACCAAACAGUAAGAUGAUCGUCACCACACGCAAUUCAAAUGUUGCAUCAACAAUGGGGCCAGUUGAACAUUACAAUCUCAGGAGUCUAUCAGAUGAUGAUUGCUGGUCCAUUUUCAUAAAGCAUGCAUUUGAAUCUAGAGAUCUUAACGCACAUCAAAUUUCAGAAUCAUUCCGCAAGAAAGUUGUUGCCAAGUGUGGAGGCUUGGCCCUGGCAGCAAAAACACUCGGAGGCCUUCUGCGUACGACGAGGCAUGAUGCGUGGGAUGAUAUAUUAGAGAGCAAAAUAUGGGAUUUACCUCGACAAAGUGGGGUUCUCCCAGUAUUAAGAUUGAGUUACCAUCAUCUUCCUUCUCAUUUGAAAAGAUGUUUUGCUUUUUGUGCCAUCUUUCCAAAAGAUUAUGAAUUCACUGAGAAGGAGCUGACUUUCUUAUGGAUGGCUGGAGGUAUUAUUCGACAGUCAAGAAACAAUGAGCAGCUGGAAGAUUUGGGCAGCCAGUGCUUUGGUGAUCUAGUGUCGAGGUCAAUUUUUCAACAAACAACAAUCUCUGAUAGUUCUAAAUUUGUAAUGCAUGACCUUAUUCAUGAUCUUGCUGAAUUGGUCUCUGGAGGGACCAUUUUUAGGUUAGAGAAGUCCCCCAACUUGUCGUCAAGCGGAUUUGAAAGAGUUCGCCAUUCUUCCUAUGCCGGCGGUUUGCAUGAUGGUAAAAAUAAGUUUGAGGUUUUCUAUGAAAUUGAACAUCUACGAACAUUCUUGCCAUUACGCUUACGCAUACGAGGUACUUUUUACAUAACUAGAACGGUUCUAUCCGAUUUGCUGCCAAAGUUCAAAAAAUUGAGGAUGCUAUCUUUAGAAGGAUACUGUAUUGGUGAGUUACCGAUUCCAUUUGAAGAUUUGAGACUUUUAAGGUUUCUCAACCUUGCUGACACUGACAUAAGAAGUUUACCCGAGUCAACAUGCAAAUUGCUGAACUUGGAAAUUUUGAUAUUAAGAAAUUGUUCCCGCUUGAUAAAGCUUCCACCCAAAAUGAGGAAUUUGAUCAAUUUACGCCAUCUCGAUAUAAGAGGUGCGGAGUUGCUGAAGGAGAUGCCAUUCGGAAUGAAAGAGCUGAAGAAGCUUCAAAUAUUGUACAAUUUCAUUGUAGGCAAGGGUGAAACUGCAUGCGGUUUGGAAGAAUUAAAAAGUUUAAACUUUCUUUGUGAUGAACUUUGCAUUGCUGGAUUAGAGAAUGUGAAUAAUCCACAGAAUGCAAGAGAAGCCGCAUUAUGCGAGAAGCACAAUCUUGAAGCAUUGACUCUAGAAUGGGGGUCUCAAUCUGACAGUCCUCGGGAUGCAGUACUAGAAGAGAAUGUACUUGACACUCUACAGCCUCAUAAACGUAUAAAAGAGCUGGCAAUCAGGCACUAUGGUGGUGCAAGAUUUUCACUUUGGAUCGGAGAUCCUUCGUUCUCCGAGAUGAAGGUCCUUAAAUUGGAGAACUGUGACAAUUGUGUAUCUCUGCCAUCGCUUGGCCUGUUGAGUUCACUUAAGCACCUUGCUGUUAAAGGGCUGAAGAAACUAAAAAGCAUAGAGUCUGAGGUUUAUGGGGAGGGUUUCUCGAUGCCUUUUCCAUCAUUGGGGAUUCUAAGUUUCGAGAAUUUGCCAGAAUGGGAGCAUUGGGACACCGAGAUCAAAGGAAAUGCGCCUGUUGAUAUAUUUCCUCGUCUCCAAGAACUUUCCAUUGCAGAAUGUCCCAAACUCUCUGGACAACUGCCUGAGCUCCUGCCUUCCUUGGAGACACUUGUUGUUAGUAAAUGUGAAAAGUUAGUAGUUCCAUUGUCAAGUUAUCCGAUGCUCUGCAGAUUAGAAGUUGAUGAGUGCAAGGAGCUAGUGUGCGGGACUCUAAUUGAUUUUAAGUUGAUAAAGUCCAUGACUAUUUCAAAUAGUUCAUUAGACAUGAAUGGACGCAAGGGGAUGCUAUACGAUGGUCUAGCUGGCUCUUCACUUCCAAAGCCCAUGACUACUACAAAUGUUUUGGAGUUUGGAAAAUUAUUGAAGCCUGGAUUUCAGAUAUUAGAAAUUUUGGUAAUUGGCAAUUCUGAACAGCUCAAGUCAUGGAGGCAGCAUGGAGAUUGGAGUACUUCGAUUAAACCAGUACAAGGGCUGAAUAUGCUCGCUCACAAUGAGGAGGUAUCAAUUGAAGAAAGUUGCGUUCGUCUUGUUUUGUUUCCAGAGAUCAAUUUCUUUCCCAGAAAUCUGCGCUCUCUUCUAAUUAACAACAACACUGCUUUCAAAUCCUUACCCGAGGAAAUGAUGGAAAACAAUUCACAACUCGAAAGGUUGUAUAUCAAGGAUUGCGACUCUCUAACAUUCAUCGCAAGACGGAGGCUACCAGCAUCUCUUAAAAGGCUUGAGAUAGAAAAUUGUGAGAAAUUGCAACGUCUGUUCGAUGAUGAAGAGGAUGCUUCUUCUUCUUCUCGUGCAUCCUCGUCUUCCCCAGUGAUGCUGCAACACCUGAUUAUAGAGAACUGCCCAGAGCUCACCAGUUUAUCAUCGGGUGUCCAAUUCCUUGAGGCGCUUGAAUACCUCGAGAUACGGGAUUGUCCAAAGCUGGAGUCAAUACCGGAUGGCCUGCACAAUCUUAAAUGUUUACAGAGCAUUUAUAUACGGAAAUGUCCAAGUCUUGUUUCCUUCCCAGAAAGAGGGCUUCCCAACACGAUUUCAAGGGUUGACAUUUGCAGCUGUGACAAGCUCGAAGCCUUGCCCAAUGAUUUGCACAAACUCAACUCUCUUCGAGGUUUAAGCAUCCAGAUCUGUCCAAAUCUUGUAUCGUUUCCAGAAGAAGGUUUUCCUACCAAUCUAACAUCACUUACAAUUGGAUAUUUCAAAAUGUAUAAGACACUCGUCCAGUGGGGGUUGCACAGGCUUACCUCUCUUAGAGACCUCUGGAUCGUUGAAUGUGAUGAUGAAGCAGAGUGUUUUCCAGACGAGGAGAUAGGAAUGACGCUGCCUGCCUCUCUCACUCAUCUGCAUCUUGAUGGAUUCCAAAAUUUGAUAUCUCUGUCUUCGACGGGUUUUCAGAGCCUAACCUCUCUUCAAUCUUUGUGGAUCUGGGAUUGCCCAAAUCUCACAUCAUUUCCAGAGGUGGGCCUUCCAUCCUCACUUUUGGAAUUACACAUUAGAGAUUGUCCAAAGCUUAAAAAAGCGUGCAAAAGGGAUCAAGGAAAAGAGUUGCCCAAAAUUGCUCACAUCCCUUGCGUUGAGAUAGACGGUAAAUUCAUAUACGAUCCAGAAUCAGAGGAGUAGAUUCUAUUACAAAGGUCAGUUGAUUUGUAUUAUCCGCUAUAACAAGCUCCUCCUAAUUUUUUUUUUCUAAGUAAUAAUUUUGCAGUCACUCACGUGAUUCCGUUUUCACAAGUCAGAUUGUAUGUUGAGGCUAUUUGCCUUUUAAUCGCAGAUUAAAUUAUAACACUUAUCUUAAAAUUUAAUACCAUACACAGAUAGACGAUUUUUUUAUCCAAAGUUUCAAUCAAGAAUUGGAGGAUGUGAAUGGGAUUUUUGUGAAAACAUAAUGGAUGAACGAACAUUUCAUCUGUGAUCUCAAAGUCAACAGAAUUUUAUUUACUCGUUGACUUUUCAACUCCUUGGUUGUUGCUGGGUGAAAGAUAAGGGCAAUUACAAGAUAUUUGCAAACUUUGUCAAUUUCUUAGAUGGUAGAUAUAUCGACAUUUUAGAUUUCAGAUAUUUUGAUGCUUUUUUAAUUUUGAUCUAGUAGAAAUACAUAGCCUUCACCGACAGGAAUUGAAAUUGAAAUUUUUGUCUUCAAUGGGUUUUCAAAGCCUCGCCUCUCUUCGAUUUUUGUGGAUCGGGAAUUGCACAAAUCUCACAUCAUUUCCCGAGGUCGAGGAAAAGAGCGGCCCAAACUUGCUCGCAUCCCUUGGGUUAAUAGAUUCUCUUAUUAAGGUCAGCUGAUUUCUAUUAUCCACUCUGACAAUCUCCUAUUAGUGUUUUUCCUUUUGAAAUUUUUUUUCUAAAAUUUUGCAGUUCCGUAUAAUUGAAAAUGCCACUCACUUGUUUCCUAUUAGUAUGUUGAGGCUAUUUGCUUCCUAUUAGUGUUUGUUAAGGUAAUUAGUGCUCCCUCGUCGGUAUGACUGGAUUUUUUUCACUUCCGUAAAUAUUGCAUUUUAGACUGGCAAAUUUAGCAGUAAUUUUAAUUUGAUACUCUGAUUAAGAAGCCUGAUUAUAGUAGCUGACUUUUUUUGUGUGGUUUGCUGUUGUUUAUUCUUUCGAUUAAUUUCAACAUUAGGUUGAUCUGUUGAAGAACAAACUUGGGUUUGAUUAUGCUUUAACUACAAGGAAGAGCCAGACUUGGAUGCAGGCGUUCGGCUUUUAAUGGGUAAGAACAAAUGUAUGCUUUAACCAUGUUUCUCACUUAUUACAAUGCACGCAUUGAAGGCAUCUGAGCUGAUCCUGAAAAUGUGGUGGAAAUACUUCUCUGUUUACAUAAAAUAGACAAAUAGAGAUCUCUGAUCAUGCCUGAGAAUUCGUUGCAUUUCAAAUUUCUACCAUUGCCAAAAAUAGAAUAAACUAGGGAUACAUUAGCUUAAGACUCAAUUUUGAGAAGGAAGUUUGCACAUGCAGCCUAAAAAAUCAUGUCCGUGUUGUAUACUUGUAUGUUUCUUUGGGAAAUGAAAGAUUCUGUAUGUUCUUUUAUUUCAAGUUUGCUGAAAUCACAUUUGUUUUCGUAGAUGCUUUUGGGAAGGUAACAAGAUCAAUUUCAUAAAUGCUGGGGUAAGAUGCAUCACGCAGUGCUACUCAACAUGAGAAUUCCCGGCCGCAUUAACUGUAUGUUGAGUGAUCGCACAGUACAACCUUUAGAAGCUUGUAAGGAGUAGACAACUAGAUGCGAAUAGUUUCAAUAUGGAUUCACAUCAAAUGAUCUCUUGCCAGUGAUUACUAUAACCUCUAUCCCAAAAUUCUUGGAACUGGUCAUACCAAUAAUGAAGUAUUGUGUAUGUUGAAGACAUAGCUCAAGGCCUUGCGAAAGCUCCGUCAGCCUUUGUAUUGGAAAACAAUUGGUUGUAGUUGCUUCUGAAUGAUAUUAUUAAUAGA